GCAAAUAGAUAUUUUGGAAGGGACACUCCAGGAAUCCUGCUAGACCUGGUUAGAACUCUGCCCAGGGACCAAGCCAGCUGAAUCGAUGGUUUCCUUUCUGGAAAUUUAAAUAUUUUGACAGUACAGAAGAGGGGUGCAUCUGGAGAUUUCUGGACCCAGUUGUAACCAGACUUGCCCUUCCUGAGCAAAUCGAUUGCUUCCGGUUUCAUCACUUCUGUACAGCGACUGACUUCCGGAGCUUAACUCCCCGACAGCCUGGAGGAAGGAGGCAAAAGGAAACCUUUUAAUUUAUAGUAGCCUUGUCUCAGAUGGUCCCAGAUGGCAGCAUCUGCAUUCCAGGAUUCAGGAUAAAGGAAGGAUGAAGAAGAAGAAAUGGCACAUCCUGCACUUCCUCUUAAGCUCAAAAGAGAGAGAAGUUUGAGAAACAAUUCUUCAGCCUUUAAGAGGGAAGAUGGAAGAGGUACCUUUCAAUUAAAUGCUCUGAUGAGUGAUGAUACUCCACCCUGGAAGUUCGACUACUUCAGGAAUAUA